UACGGAGGAUGCGAGCGUUAUCCGGAUUUAUUGGGUUUAAAGGGUGCGCAGGCGGAUUUUUAAGUCAGCGGUCAAAUCGUGGGGCUCAACCCCAUCCAGCCGUUGAAACUGGGGAUCUAGAGUGUGCGAGAGGUAUGCGGAAUGCGUGGUGUAGCGGUGAAAUGCAUAGAUAUCACGAAGAACUCCGAUUGCGAAGGCAGCUUACCAGUCUGCGACUGACGCUCAGGCACGAAAGUGUGGGUAUCGAACAGG
rnacentral:rRNA from 1 species